rnacentral:rRNA from 1 species
UACAGAGGGUGCGAGCGUUAAUCGGAAUUACUGGGCGUAAAGGGCGCGUAGGCGGAUGAGCAAGUGAGAUGUGAAAUACCCGGGCUUAACCUGGGAACGGCAUCUUAAACUGCUUAUCUGGAGUACUGUAGAGGAUAGUGGAAUUUCCGGUGUAGCGGUGAAAUGCGUAGAGAUCGGAAGGAACAUCAGUGGCGAAGGCGACUGUCUGGACAGAUACUGACGCUGAGGCGCGAAAGCGUGGGGAGCAAACAGG